rnacentral:rRNA from 1 species
AGUGAACGCUGGCGGCGUGCUUAACACAUGCAAGUCGAACGAGAACGGAAUAUAGCUUGCUAUAUUUGUCAGCUAAGUGGCGCACGGGUGAGUAAUGUAUAGAUAACCUGCCCUUAAGAAAGGAAUAACAGUUGGAAACGACUGCUAAUGCCCUAUAUGCCUUUAAUACAUAAGUAUGCAAGGGAAACGCUUUAGUGCUUAAGGAUGGGUCUGUAUGGUAUCAGCUUGUUGGUGAGGUAAUGGCUCACCAAGGCUAUGACGCCUAACUGGUUUGAGAGGAUGAUCAGUCACACUGGAACUGAGACACGGUCCAGACUCCUACGGGAGGCAGCAGUGGGGAAUAUUGCACAAUGGACGAAAGUCUGAUGCAGCAACGCCGCGUGGAGGAUGACACAUUCCGGUGCGUAAACUCCUUUUAUAUAGGAAGAUAAUGACGGUACUAUAUGAAUAAGCACCAGCUAACUCCGUGCCAGCAGCCGCGGUAA